rnacentral:misc_RNA from 1 species
GAUGAAGAACGUAGCGAAAUGCGAUACGUAAUGUGAAUUGCAGAAUUCAGUGAAUCAUCGAAUCUUUGAACGCGCAUUGCGCCCGCCAGCACUCUGGCGGGCAUGCCUGUUCGAGCGUCAUUUCAACCAUCAAGCCCCAGGCUUGCGUUGGAGCCCUGCGGCUGCCGCAGCCUCCUAAAAGCAGUGGCGGGCUCGCUAUCACACCGAGUGCAGUAGAUUACUCUUCGCUCAGGGCGUGCAGCGGGUUCCGGCCGUGAAACCCCCUACUUUUAAAGGUUGACCUCGGAUCAGGUAGGAAUACCCGCUGAACUUAAGCAUAUCAAUAAGCGGAGGA